rnacentral:misc_RNA from 1 species
ACGAGUUAUCAAGAACCCUUAUUGUUAACUGAAAAUGCAAAAACAUAAUAAUCAUAAGGCCUAUUCUAAAGAUCCUUGUCAAUAAAAUCUGCCUAGUACCGACCUACUAAUAUGAAGUCAUCAUCAUCAAGAACCUCAACGUCUUUUUCUCCCACAAAAUUCUCCCGCCCGAUUGACUUUACCAAAUUCACAAAUUCUACCCUCUUUG